GGAAUUUUUACGGCGGCCCUGUCCUUUCUCUGUCCCCUUCCAUCAUGUGACGUGUUUCACUGUUCAGUCCGAAUUUCCUGUGAUGUAGGUGUUAGUCCUGGAACAGCUCCAAUGUACCAUAGCACAAACCUGAAAUUGUUGGAUAAGAGGAUCAAGAUAGCUGAGUUGGUGUUAAGGUUUAUGAUUCUUGGUCUUGGAGUUGUUGCAGCUGUUCUUAUGGAACUGAUUCACAAGUGAAGGUGUUUUUCUCCUUUGAGAAGGAAGCUAAAUUCACUGAUGUUAAGGCUUUGGUAUUCUUGGUAGUUGCUAAUGGUUUG